rnacentral:lncRNA from 1 species
AAAAAAAGUCAGAGCGUGGACACUUUUCCACAUCAUGAGUAUCAUCCGCAGCCCCAUUCUGAUGAUACUCCAUGGUCCCCGGGAUCCCUCCCCGUGGGCACGUUUGUCAGCACUCUUAGUAAUUGUCCAGUUGGUAGAAUCCGGGCCAGUUGGGGUCAGUCUAGGGAGAGCCAGCAGGAGAGAAGGACAUGCUCACACCUGCUUAUUAAAUGCCUACUGUGUGCAGGCCUGGGUCCUGCUGGCUGCUGCUGCACUGUGGAGGCGAAUGCGGCGUGG